ACGCUUAUACGCGGUAAUUCGAAAAUGAGCUGGGCAAGUUUCGGGCCGCAAACCAUAUGACUGACAUGGUCGACAAAGGAAGAAAGAAUGUUGCAGGAGGAACCUUCCCAAGUCCUGAAAUGAGAAAAUGUGAAAUCAUAAUCAUGAAAAAAUUACAGCAAAGUAGAUGGAUGACACGAUCAUCAGAGGAAGAAAUGAUGAAGCAGUACCUCCCAGAAGACUGAUAGCACCUAUCAAAUCCCCAAUGCAAACCAGAUGGGUGACAUUACCAACGGAGGUAGAAAUGAUGUAGCUGGCCAGACCUUCCAAAGAGAAUGGCAGUACCCACCAAAUCCCCAGUAAUGUUUUUGAGAUUACCAGCCACAAAGUCUAGCUAAAAUGAUAUACAGGCCAUUCACCGCAGUAUGGUAGCAGUCGUAGCACUUACCAAAUAUGCUUAUCAGAUGGGUGACGUGGCCAACAGAGGAAGAAACGAUGUAGCGGGACCUUCCCACCAAAUACACAUUGCAAGAAAUUACAUUUCUCAAGCAAGUUCUGUGGAGAUUAUGGCGAGAUUUUCUCUUCAUGUCAUGGAUGCUAUGCUCUCUGCUUCACUCAUUGGGACCAGAGUUCACAUUGCGAGGAUGACAUGUAAAUUUGGAAGUGCGAAUUGAGAGGCCUCCACGGCUCAAAGAUAUAUUAUUACCCCGGUCAUCGGAUCCAAUCAGUCAAUCCCGCACGCAAUGUAUGCACAUCCUCCACUCCCUGGGGAGUAUUCCAGUCAGUCGCCGGUGACGCGCACACAGUACUGGACAAGCUACAAUUUCACAUCCUACCAGGAACCCAUUUAGCCCGUGCGUCGAUAGUGGCAAAGUAUUGUUAACGAAUGCCAAAGGAUGCCAGAGCGCGGUGGGAUUCGAACACAAGACCCUCUGUUUACAAGGCGAGAGUCAGAACCACUACAACAUGGCUCCUCCAUUAUAUAGUUGUCAAAGUCAAAUCACCCAAAAAAAUUAUGUAAGAGGCGUUUUGCUUGCUACAACUUGACAGCGUGCAGUCUAGGGACAAAGUGAAUACCCAAGAAGUGCAAAGUGCUGGCCUCUGUAGUGAUGACUACUGUGGGCAGAACAAGAAAGUCAUUAUGCCCAGCCAUGAUUAUUUCUUUCCUCAAAGAUGCCAAAAAUGGAGAAAAAAAAUGUUACCUUUCAUUACUUUGAGAAAAACCAUGGCCCAAAUGAGUGUGACAGUAUGCAUUCAGUAAUUCAGCAGAAGAUAUCUCAUUGUCCAGAAAUCUUGCAGCCUGCCUACCUUGCCAGCACUAUCAAGGAAGCAAGGAAUGUUUCUAAUGCUGGGGAGUACAUGGUCAAGUGUGUCAGGACAACUGGAUUAAAAGGUAUUUUCCCAAUUAUUGGGGAUUCUUAGGACAAGGUCUUCAGAUAUUAAAGGAAAUCAACAUUGACUGGACUUCAUUCAGAUCCGUGAACUGGCCAACUCUCCUGGCAAGAUAUUUGUUGUAAACAUCACAUUGAACACACAGAACAAAUUCUUCACUCUGAAAAUAGACCAAGGCAGCCACCUAGCAGUGAAGCUUACAUAAAUAUUCUUAGAAAUUCACAUUAUUACUAGCUAUUACUUCUUAAUUUGUUUCUUUCAUUUCUUGUAAUACAUUCGAAAAAAGAUGAAUAACAUUAUCCAGUUAAGGAGAACAAUAGUGAUACAUUUAAUUGUUGUAAUAGCUCCUACUACAAGUUUAUACAAAGAAACAUGUGAACUACUAUCACAUCUCAUUUUCUUCUUAGAAUCCCUAGAUCUGCUGAUAAAUCAAUCCAGUGGGUUGAUAAAAUGAUGUGUAGCGCCAUCUACAUGCCGCACAUCCACGAGACCAUGGAUCCUACUUGCUGGAACAAAGCAGACACCAUUAGAAAAAAAAUAAACAACAGCAAAACUUUAUACCUCCCUCUAGUGAGGGAAUUUCUUAGUUUAGUGUAAGAUAUCAAGGUGAGACGAAUGUAUGAGGAUUUACUAAUUAUCAUCGUGCAAAACACCCUCCAUCAUGAUCAUGUCCAUGGAUUUGAUUUACAAACCAACCAUUUUUUUUUUGUCUACGGAUUACCUUAUUUACCACCUUUGUUUCUGUAUUCUACAUUCCAAAACUGAAGUAACAUAUAUAUAUUCUGGUUGAUGAAAGCCUGGAAUGAAAUUCAGAGGUUUUAGCUAUUGUCAGGGUCAUAUCAUUUCUCAGUGGUAUUCAGAGUAUUCAUCUUAUGUCUACACACAAUGGUCAAGUUAUUUUUUGCUUAGAACUUAAAACAUUGAAUGUUGGAUUAACAUAACAACAUGAGGGUGUAUAAAUGUAUUGGGACAAAUAAAUUCGUUUCAUCUGAAUGCAUAUAAGAAAACAAUUACUAGUAGUGGUUUUAUGGGCGGAGGAAGAACAGUAUAAUUCAACAAAUCAUAUGCCAAAGAGCCAUCCAAAGAUGACCUGCACUAGCCUAUCAAAGCAAUGGCAACCAUGUGAUCAUAAUGAUGAUUAUUAUUAUCAUCUGUAUCAUCAUCAUCAUCAUUGCCAUCAUCAACAACAACAUCAACAACAUUAGUAUCAGAAUCGUUUAUAUUAUCAUUAUUAUUGUUUCUGCUCUUGUUGUAUAGCAUUACUACCAUAUAUCAAGCACAUGAAUCAUAAGAUUUCAUAUCACAUCACAUGGGACACUUAUCAUGUUGAUUACAUGUCGAAUUCAUUCUAAACAAUUUGUGUGUGAAAGUGGUUAUAUGAUAAUUAUGCUUACAAUAUCAACUAAAAAAAACAAUUACUUCCCUCGAGAUCUGUGUUGAAUUGGUUAAUUGUUGAAAUUUAUUGUGUUGAUGAUAUGAUCUUAAAGUCCAUGAGAAUACUAAUAAGGGGUGCUAAAAUAUUGAGGCCAAUUUUAAUGUUUUGGAAAAGUCUAUUUACAGUAAGAAAGACAUGUUAUGUGAUUGAAAGAUAAUGAUAAUUUAUGCAAAGUAUUCUUAAAAUUGCAAAGAUUAGGCCUGGUUGAUGUGAAUGACUUGAUGUAUCAAAUCAUAAUCGUUUGAAUGUUAAGCCCCCCCCCCCUCCACCCCACUUUCAAAACCUUUACAUAGGCCUUUGUAAAGGUCCUUUCUAUUCCGUCCUUUUUUCACUCAGAACCAUGUAACUCAUGCAUUUUCGAC